rnacentral:rRNA from 1 species
UACGAAGGGGGCUAGCGUUGCUCGGAAUUACUGGGCGUAAAGGGCUCGUAGGCGGCCAACUAAGUCAGACGUGAAAUCCCUCGGCUUAACCGGGGAACUGCGUCUGAUACUGGAUGGCUUGAGUUUGGGAGAGGGAUGCGGAAUUCCAGGUGUAGCGGUGAAAUGCGUAGAUACUGGGAGGAACACCAGUGGCGAAGGCGGCUACCUGGACCGGUUCUGACGCUGAGGCGCGAAAGCGUGGGUAGCAAACAGG